rnacentral:snRNA from 1 species
GUGGCAGAGUGGCCUUGC